AUGGGCGAACCAAAUGGCAAUGAAAAUGCUAUGGUGCAUGAGAGUGAAAUGGUUGUUGAUGAUGAGAUGAUCCAUGGCAAUGAAAUGGUUCACAGUGGCGAGAUGAUCCAUGAGCAUGAUAUGGUUCAAGGGAAUGAGAUGGUUCAUGGUGACGAGAUGGUGGAAGGGAGUGGGAUGGUCCAUGAUGAUGAGAUGAUCCAUGGUAAUGAGAUGAUUCAAGUUAGUGACAUGAUCCAUGGUCAUGAGAUGGUUCAAGUGAAUGACAUGGUCAAUGGUGAUGAGAUGGCCCAUGGUCACGAAUUGGUCAGUGCUGAGGUGACCCCACCAACCAUAUCAAGACGCCGGAGAAAGAAGUCAUUAGUAUGGGAGCACUUUACUAUUGAACCUGUUCCUGGGGAGAGGGGAUGCCAACGUGCAUGCUGCAACCUAUGCAAGGCAACCUUUGCAUACAGUUCUGGCACAAAGAUAGCAGGUACUAGCCAUCUCAAGAGGCACAUCACGCUUGGCUCUUGCCCUAUGAUAAAAAGCCAAGAGAGGAAGCUGGCAAUGAGUUCAAUUGGAGGAGUGACUGACAACGAUGGUGAGGGUACCGUAGAACGUCCUUCUAAGAGGCGUUACAGAUAUACUGGCUUUGCAAAUACUACAUUUGAUCAAGACCGUAGCAGCUCACAUCUGGCGAAGCUUAUCAUUUUGCAUGACUACCCACUUCAUGUUGUUCAACAGCCAGCCUUCACUGCUUUUACUGAUAGCCUGCAGCCUCGUUUCAGGGUUGCGGAUGUUGAAACAAUGGAGGCAGAGGUGUAUGGUGUUUACCAGAAAGAGAAAAACAACCUAAUGCAAGCAUUGAACACUAUGCCUGGAAGGAUUAGCCUCACCAUAGGAUUGUGGACAACUAGUCAGACUCUUGGCUAUGUUUCUAUAGCUGGGCAGUUCAUUGACACGGAUUGGAAAGUGCAUCGAAGAAUGCUUAACUUCAUGAUGGUGUCUUCUCCUCAUUCGGAGAAUGCACUUGGUGAAGCUAUUAGCUCAAGCCUUACCGACUGGAACAUGAAGGACAAGCUAUUCACCGUCACAUUGGAUAAUGAUUGCUCAUCACAUGAUAUCUACAGUGCAAAUCUGAGAGAUCAUCUCUCCAAUAAGAACAACCUGAUGCUUAAGGGCCAGCUGUUUGUUGUGAGGUGCUAUGCCAAUAUCCUCAAUGCAGUUGCACAUGAUGUCAUUGCUUCAAUCCAUGGUGUGAUCUACAGUAUCCGUGAAAGUAUAAAGUUCAUAAAAGCUUCUUCUGCCCGUGAGCAGAGGUUUGCUGAGAUUGCUCUGCAGCUGGAGAUUCCCAGCACUAAGACCCUGUGCCUUGAUGUUACAAUACAGUGGAAUACCACUUACCUUAUGCUGAUUGCUGCCUUGGAUUAUAGGCAGGCAUUCACCACAUUGGAGACAUGUGAUGGUAACUACAACGAGUCACCUUCUGCAGAAGACUGGAAGAAGUUGGAAGCUGCCUGCAAUUAUUUGAAAUUUCUGUAUGAUUCUGCACAUAGCAUCAUGGCUGCGGCAAAUCCAACUUCUAACUUAUUUUUCCAUGAGGCGUGGAAACUUCAGCUGGAACUGUCAAAUGCCAUAACCCAUGAAGAUCCAGUUUUCAGUAGCAUCGCCAAAGAAAUGCAUGAGAGGUUUGACAAGUACUGGAAGGAUUGCAACCUUGUUCUAGCCAUUGGUGUUGUCAUGGACCCUCGUUUCAAGAUGAAACUUGUUGAAUUCAGUUAUUCUAAAAUCUAUGGUGUGGAGGCAGCAAAGUACGUUAAGGUGGUGGAUGAUGCUCUUCAUGACCUUUACAAGGAUUAUGUUGCACAGCCCCUGCCCCUGACGCCAGCCUAUGGCGCACCAGGGGAAGUUAAUAAGAAUGGGCCUGCCCAUGCGAAUAACAACACAGUAACUCCACCUUCUACUGGGGAUGGACUUCUUGACUUUGACAUGUAUCUUUCAGAGAUAGCAAUAAGUCAGCCCUCCAAGUCCGAGCUGGAGCAGUACCUGGAAGAAGCCCUGACGCCCCGCAUCCAAGACUUUGAAAUCGUGGACUGGUGGAAGCUCAACACCCUGAAGUUUCCAACACUGGCGAAGAUGGCCCGUGAUAUCUUGGCCAUCCCCAUGUCCAUGGUGAGCAGCGGCUGCUCCAUAUUUGCCGCGGCAACAACAGGAAGCCGGAUGCUCGAUGACUACAGAAGCUCGCUGCGCCCUGAAAUCGUGGAGGCACUUUUCUGCUCCAAAGACUGGCUUCAGUAUUCUCCGCCGCCUCCUGCAGAAGCUCAGGGUUCUGUAGCGGUGAAGAUGGAGUGA
rnacentral:rRNA from 1 species